rnacentral:misc_RNA from 1 species
GAGACGGUUAAGGAGGAUGAAGAUACACCAUUAAAAGAAAAUCCUUGUAAUGAACGUUGCCAGGAGGGGGGGUUCUUCAUUUCUCAGAUUGUUUCAGAAGCUCCUGUGGUAAAUCAUUGUUUAAGCAAAUCGACUGAUACGUUAUCUGGACCAGCAUCUGUAAUUACAAGUUCUGACUGCUCGGAGAAGUUGGGUUCUGCAGAACAAUUCAUAAAUGGUGAACGCAAAACUGAAAACAGGAAUUGUUUAGAACAUGAGUUAUCUGGUUGUAGAGAUUUUUCUAGCUGUACAUUAGGCGCUGAAAGUAAAAAACAAGUGAAACUCAACCUGUCAAAUGAUGCAACGAUUACAACGAAUAAGAGGACUGCAAUUUGCAGUUCAGAGUUUCCUGAUCCUUGGGAUAGGAAGCACUCAAUGCUUGUUGCUUCGGACAAUACUGUAAAGUUAUCUCUUUCUACGGACCCUGAUCCUUUCGGGUCUUUUCCGGUGAUCCGGGAUGAUGUACAGUUAGCUAACAAAGAUGAUGACGAAAAAUCUUGGGGGUGCACUCAACCUAGCACUAGAAAUAAGGCCUUCAGGCCAGCACCGCGAGUAGGAGAUUGGAGGAUGCG